rnacentral:rRNA from 1 species
UACGAAGGGGGCUAGCGUUGCUCGGAAUCACUGGGCGUAAAGGGUGCGUAGGCGGGUCUUUAAGUCAGGGGUGAAAUCCUGGAGCUCAACUCCAGAACUGCCUUUGAUACUGAGGAUCUUGAGUUCGGGAGAGUGAGUGGAACUGCGAGUGUAGAGGUGAAAUUCGUAGAUAUUCGCAAGAACACCAGUGGCGAAGGCGGCUCACUGGCCCGAUACUGACGCUGAGGCACGAAAAGCGUGGGGAGCAAACAGGG